UAUCAAUAAGCGGAGGAAAAGAAACCAACAGGGAUUGCCUCAGUAACGGCGAGUGAAGCGGCAACAGCUCAAAUUUGAAAUCUGGCGUCCGCCCGAGUUGUAAUUUGCAGAGGAUGCUUCGGGGCCGCGGCCGAUCUAAGUCCUUUGGAACAGGGCGUCAUAGAGGGUGAGAAUCCCGUAUGUGACCGGCUGGCACCCCACACGUAGCUCCUUCGACGAGUCGAGUUGUUUGGGAAUGCAGCUCUAAAUGGGAGGUAAAUUUCUUCUAAAGCUAAAUACCGGCCAGAGACCGAUAGCGCACAAGUAGAGUGAUCGAAAGAUGAAAAGCACUUUGGAAAGAGAGUCAAACAGCACGUGAAAUUGUUGAAAGGGAAGCGCAUGCAACCAGACUUGUCGGCGGUGUUCCCCCGGUCUUCUGACCGGGUCACUCGCCGCCGGCAGGCCAGCAUCGUUUGCGACCGCCGGAGAAAGGCGCGGGGAAUGUGGCUCCUCGGAGUGUUAUAGCCCCGCGCACAAUACGGUGCGUCGCGAGCGAGG
rnacentral:rRNA from 1 species